rnacentral:rRNA from 1 species
UACGUAGGGGGCAAGCGUUGUCCGGAAUCAUUGGGCGUAAAGGGCGCGUAGGUGGCCUGCUAAGCGUGCGGUGAAAGUCGGGGGCUCAACCCCCGAUCGGCCGUGCGAACUGGGAGGCUUGAGCACUGUAGAGGCAGGCGGAAUUCCGGGUGUAGCGGUGGAAUGCGUAGAGAUCCGGAAGAACACCGGUGGCGAAGGCGGCCUGCUGGGCAGUUUUGCUGACACUGAGGCGCGACAGCGUGGGGAGCAAACAGG